rnacentral:rRNA from 1 species
GACGAACGCUGGCGGCGUGCUUAACACAUGCAAGUCGAACGGAAAGGCCCUGCUUUUGUGGGGUGCUCGAGUGGCGAACGGGUGAGUAACACGUGAGUAACCUGCCCUUGACUUUGGGAUAACUUCAGGAAACUGGGGCUAAUACCGGAUAGGAGCUCCUGCUGCAUGGUGGGGGUUGGAAAGUUUCGGCGGUUGGGGAUGGACUCGCGGCUUAUCAGCUUGUUGGUGGGGUAGUGGCUUACCAAGGCUUUGACGGGUAGCCGGCCUGAGCGGGUGACCGGCCACAUUGGGACUGAGAUACGGCACAGCCUCCUACGGGAGGCAGCAGUGGGGAAUAUUGCACAAUGGGCUGAAGCCUGAUGCAGCCACGCCGCGUGCGGGAUGACGGCAUUCGGGUUGUAAACCGCUUUCGCCUGUGACGAAGCGUGAGUGACGGUAAUGGGUAAAGAAGCACCGGCUAACUACGUG